UGCCCUGUGACAUUGUUUAACGGCCGCGGUAUUAUGACCGUGCGAAGGUAGCGUAAUCACUUGUCUUUUAAUUGAAGACCUGUAUGAAAGGCAUCACGAGAGUUUACCUGUCUCUAUUUUCUAAUCAAUGAAAUUGAUUUCCCCGUGCAGAAGCGGGGAUAUAACCAUAAGACGAGAAGACCCUAUGGAGCUUUAAACACUUAAGUUACUAUCUUACUCAUUAAUUAAUCUAAAGACUUAAUCACUCUAAUAGCUAACCUAACUUAAUGUUUUCGGUUGGGGCGACCAAGGAGUAAAAGAAAACCUCCUUAUCGACUAAGUAUUUUUACUUAAAAACCAGAACGACAGUUCUGAUUAAUAGAAUAUCUAACGAAUAAUGACCCAGGGCCAUACCCUGAUCAAUGAACCAAGUUACCCUAGGGAUAACAGCGCAAUCCUUUUUAAGAGUCCAUAUCGCCGAAAGGGUUUACGACCUCGAUGUUGGAUCAGGACAUCCUAAU
rnacentral:rRNA from 1 species